CUCGCUCAUGUCGAUGUCGCUCUCGCCCGCUUCGUCUGCAUCCUCAUCGCCAUCCAGAAAGACACGAAACGCAUCGUCGGGGACUGGCGGUGCAGAGGAGGAGCUCGGCGCCGUACUCCCAUUCUGGGUGGAGCAGCUUCGCCCUCUCCUCUCCCUUCGAAAGCAGUUGGUGGCAUGGAGCAGGCCUAAUACGGCGAGGCGCUCAACAAGGAGAGCACGGUCCACCACCGAACGCCGAUAGAGGACGGCGCCUACGCCCCAAGGUGAGCACCCACCCCUCCUUUGUUCCCCUCACUGUACAACCACCUUAGGCCUCGCCAGAAUCAAGCAGGCCUGCUAUGUCGAGCGGAGAGGCUCAUAGGAGAGAGGGAAAACAUGGGGAGAGGAGGCGGGAGGGUGCCUCGCCGCCGCCGCGGGCUGGCUGGACGAAGUCGCAGACGGCGGCGGGAGCGGAGGCACAGGGGAAGGGGGAUUGGGAGUGUUGGCGCAGCCGCACAAGUAGCCCUCGGCCUCCAUCUAUCGAUUUGUUGUUUCGUCGUGCAGACUCCUCUUCGGAUUGGCCUUCUUGUGAUCAUCGAGUUUCGCUUCCGUUCCUACGAGCAGAUGACGGAUUGGUAUCUAUCGUGUUCAUCUGCCUCGCCUUCUCUGUUGCUACAUCGGCUUUUCUACUGCUCGAAUCUUGGAGAUGCCAACGUCGUGUAGCAGCAUGGGAGGGGCCAUACACCUAAAGAGCAGCAGCAUCGGAAUUGGUAGAGGGGACCAAUUCGGUGAUGGCCGGCGAGCACGGCACGGAAGGAGAUCUGAGAUGGCAGAAUUCGUCGUGACCACAGCGGCGUUUUAUUUGUCUUGCUCCACCUCCAUCCUGCCUAGCUGGGGUACGAAGUUUGUCCUUCUUAGCCUUAGGCGGCAGUGAGCCACCGAAGAUCUCCAUUUGUCCUCCUUAUCUCUUCAUAUUCCCUUGGCAAGAUUCUGUUGCUACAAUUUUUUCCUUGCUGAUUGAUGGUUUCAGUAAAGAUUAUUCCCUAUGGUGGAGGGAUUCCAUGAAUCACCUUGCAGGCUACAAAUAAUUUCUUACUUUUUCUGUCUUGAUGUUUGGAAUGGACAAAUCUACAACAUCAGUGGCCUGAUCUCUUAUUUUGCAAAAGGUCAAAGUUUUUCUGUCCAGCGGGUCAUCAACUACGAUAUAUCACCUUCCCUUUUAGAACAAGCAUUUGAUCAGCAACAUGAUUUUUUUCUGCUCUAGGGAAGCAUAUCAAUUUUUUUCCUUGCCGGUCAAUAAUGAGAGUGAUACUUGGUUUUAUUUCUGGACAGUUUCAGGUUUUAGUACUUCUAAUGUGUAGGAAGUUCUCACUGCAUAUUCAUACUGCAUAUUCAUAUUCAAUUAUCCAUUCGAGUUCUUGAUUCUGGAAAUCAUGUAGUGAACUAAAACGUAUGAGAUCUGCUCCAGCCCAAGAGUCUCUUUUUGGAAGAUUAUAGAUGUGUAUUGUGCAAUAAACUCAAGACAGAGAAAUGAGAUCAUUCCUUCUUGAAAUGUCAGUUUGCCCAGAUGCGCUAGAAAUAUAUAUGGCCAGAUUUCAGAACUAGAUGCGCUGGAAAUAUAUUUGGCCAGAUUUCAGAACUACAAAUUUGUUCAUUGUAGUAUUAAAAAUAUGUUGGCUAUCCCUUUCCAUACUAAAAUUAUUGCCUUGGUUGCUCCGACUCAAGAACAAAUCAACCAAGUCUUUACAAAUGCAUGAGAAGCUUCCAUGAGUUCAUGCAUAUGGUGUUACAAAUAGUUAAAAAAGAAUAUCAUGACCUAGGGCCUGGACAGAAGGACUUUGACAUCUCUCUUAUUUAGCUUUUGCCUCUUUUCUUGCCGUUGUAGAUACUUUCUUAUUAUUAUUUACUUUUCAAAAUAUUCUACAGGUUAUAUAUAUGUUUAGAGGACAGAAAUCCUCAUGGGCAAGCAUCCAAUUGAUUGUGCCACCGUUUUAUUUAUGCAAAUAACAUCAUAGGGAAGUGGCCCUCUGCCUUCUACAAAUAACAUCACAUGUUUGUAUGUCUCAAUGUCGGAUUACUAUUUUCUUGCUUUACAUGUCCUACUAGAGCACCGAGAAUUCCUUUCAUUAUUGGGUUGCUAUAUUGUGUUUGUGUUUUCCGAAUUAGAGAGAGGGAGAGGGAGAGGGAGAUAGAGAGGGGGAGAGAGGGAGCUUUAGGUACCAAAAAAGGGGACUACAAGCUUAAACAUCUGCUAAAAAUAGCAACAGUAACCUUAACAGUGGCCUUAUUUUUCAGUUCGCCACUGAAAGAAGACGAGUUCACAUGUAGAUAUAUGCCUACAUCUGUAAUUUCUGAAGGGAUAUAGGAGGCAUCAGCACUUCAGGUUUGGCUGAUCCUCACACCAUCACACCCCAACCCCCCUGGUCGUGCAGCGUUGGCUGAGUCAUAAAGAGCCUAGCUAGAGGUAUUCUCAAAUAUCUGGAGGUGGAAAAUAUAGGCAACACUGGCAUGCAGGCCACACGGCAACCAGUAUUUGAUCAAAAGCUCCUUCCAGUGGUACGAUUUCCCCACCAAUGCCCUCCCCUUACCCAGUGACAUGGGCUUCCAGCUAUGUUCCUCCAUCUACGUCUGCACCACCUCGGAAUCCUAUGUGCAUAGAAAAUGAGUGUGUUUUCUUGAUAUGGUCUUCAAAUAGAGCAGGGAAGGAUGCCUAAGUACAAAUUUGCUUAAGUAAAGUUGACUUAUCCAAGCGUUGGAGAUUCAGUGUAAACUUAUAAUCUCACAUGUUUUCUUGAGUAAAAUGUCGCUAUUGGGUGUCAUUCUUUACAUGACAUCACUCUGUACUACAAGAUCUACAAGAUGCAUUGCUUUUUGGUUAUUCUACACUAAUUACUGAAUAUUGUUAAUGUGGUACAUACCACCGAUGUCAGUAGCAGCCAUGCUGAUCUACACUUGAGAUGUUCAUUGUCGCCGGAGCAUGGAAAAAGUGCAGAACGACAGGCCAUCCGUAAAUAAUCAAGUUUGCUCAAUGCACAAUGGUUUAGGAAGUUACUCCUCAGCCUAAGAAUUUCCCUCUGUUUGCGUAUAAGGCUUAUCCAUUUGAUGUCAGGAAGCAUGUAUAGCAGAUGCAUACUUUAAGGUUUCCUUUAUUCUGCACCACUGAUGUCAUUGGGGUUUUUGUGUGUCAAAAUCAUAAGAAGAACCUGUAAAAAAAGUUACAUCAAA